rnacentral:lncRNA from 10 species
UUGGAAGACUAUAAUCUACUAUUUUUAAAGACUGAGCCAAAAAGUACAUAUUGCUUAUACAAUAUUUCAAUUUUUCUUGGACUGAAACACAAUAAAUACCUCAACACAGCCUGUGCAAAUAAGCAGCUUCAAUAUUCCUUCAGAUUAUUCCUAGUGCCUGAAUGACUGACUCCACCAUGAUCCAGCUGCCUCAGGUUGUAUUCACUAAUUCUAUGCAUUCUAACAGACUGUAUUUUUGGAUGCAACUAUACUAUAUGAUUUACAGAAAACAAAUCAGUAUACCAAGAUAAAUACACUUCAGUGUGAAGUUUUAAAGUGCUACCAGAAAGUCAAAUCGACUACUUACUCUCCACUCACUUUUUAAAUUUUAUUUUUUGUAGAGACGAGGUCUCACUAUGUUGCUUAGGCUGGUCUCGAACUCCUGUGCUCAAGUGAUCCUCCUGUCUCAGCUUCCCAAAGUGCUAGGAUUAUAGACGUGAGCCACCAUGUCUGGCCUGUCCACUGACUUUUAAAAUGUUCUACAUAGAUUUUGCCAAGAACUCCAAUAUUCAGUGACAAUCAUUUGAGUCUUCGUGGAGCUUUCAAAAUACAGGUCUUUCUGCUGCCUUGCUGGGCCGUAGCUCAGAUGUGGGAAGUAAACAGAAUGGUCAAGAUUUGGUCGGAAUGGUCGGUAAGAGAAUGGUCGAGGAAAAAAUUCCUGCAAAAUAUGUUGCAAAAGGCUGGGCAAAUUCUUCCUCUUGGGAUCAUAAGACUUACACGGACCUCUAAGUACCCAACAUUUUCUCUUUAUAAAUAUCAAUCUUCACAAAUAUUAUUUCCUUAAGUACAUACUCC